GUGUCAGCCGCCGCGGUAAUACGUAGGUGGCAAGCGUUAUCCGGAAUUAUUGGGCGUAAGCGCGCGUAGGCGGUUUUUUAAGUCUGAUGUGAAAGCCCACGGCUCAACCGUGGAGGGUCAUCGGAAACUGGAAAACUUGAGUGCAGAAGAGGAAAGUGGAAUUCCAUGUGUAGCGGUGAAAUGCGCAGAGAUAUGGAGGAACACCAGUGGCGAAGGCGACUUUCUGGUCUGUAACUGACGCUGAUGUGCGAAAGCGUGGGGAUCAAACAGGAUUAGAAACCCCAGUAGUCC
rnacentral:rRNA from 1 species